rnacentral:rRNA from 1 species
UACCUGUGGUAAUUCUAGAGCUAAUACACGCAACUAAGCUCCGACCCCGCCCGUAAUAUCGACUCCGGUCGUUUACGGGAUCCGGGGGAAGGGCGCUUUUAUUAGCCUCAAAUAAAAACCGAUCGGACUUCGGUCCGUCAAAUGAAAUCCCUAGGCUCGCUGAAAUAUGCGGCCGCUAACGGGGAAACAAACUUUUAUUUGGUGACUCUGAAUAACUCAUAGCCGAGCGCUUAGGUCAUUUGUACCGGCGCCGUAUCCUUCGAGCGUCUGCCUUAUCAGCUCUCGAUUGUAAGUUAUACGCUUACAAUGGCUGUAACGGGUAACGGGGAAUCAGGGUUCGAUUCCGGAGAGGGAGCCUGAGAAACGGCUACCACAUCUAAGGAAGGCAGCAGGCGCGCAAAUUACCCAAUCCCGGCACGGGGAGGUAGUGACGAAAAAUAACGAUGCGAGACUCUUCCGAGGCCUCGCAAUCGGAAUGAGUUUACUAUAAAUCCUUGAACGAGGAUCAAUUGGAGGGCAAGUCUGGUGCCAGCAGCCGCGGUAAUUCCAGCUCCAAUAGCGUAUAUUAAAGUUGCUGCGGUUAAAAAGCUCGUAGUUGGAUUUCACUAUCCGGACCGAAGGGCCCGCCUCGUCCCUUUCGUUCGGGCCCGUCUCGAUCCUCAGUCGUUCGUUCGUCGACCCCAUUUAUUUGGGACGUCGACGGCGGCGGCGAGACGGACGAAGCGUUCGGCGAUUGUGGUCGAGCGGACAAAGCUCCUCGGCUCCGGGUCGAUUUACAAGGCCGUCGGCUCACGCGAGGUGCUCUUCGCCGAGUGACUCGCGCGUCGCCGACACGUUCACUUUGAGAAAAUUAAUGUGCUCAAAGCGGGCUAACUUUAAAGCAAACGAAUGCUCGAAUGGUGGUGCAUGGAAUGAAGGAACAGGACCUCGGUUCUGCCCUUAUACCUUUUCUUUUUCUUUGCAAAAAGAAUUGAACUUUUUUUAUCGGUUUUCACGGAACCCGAGGUAAUGAUUAACGGGAACUGACGGGGGCAUUGGUAUUGCGACGCUAGAGGUGAAAUUCUUGGACCGUCGCAAGACCUCCUACUGCGAAAGCAUUUGCCAAGAAUGUUUUCAUUAAUCAAGAACGAAAGUUAGAUGAUCGAAGGCGAUCAGAUACCGCCCUAGUUCUAACCGUAAACUAUGCUAACUGGCGAUCCGUCCGCGUCAUUCCCACGACCGGGCGGGCAGCCCCCGGGAAACCAAAGUUUUUGAGUUCCGGGGGGAGUAUGGUUGCAAAGCUGAAACUUAAAGGAAUUGACGGAAGGGCACCACCAGGAGUGGAGCCUGCGGCUUAAUUUGACUCAACACGGGAAACCUCACCAGGCCCGGACACCGGAAGGAUUGACAGAUUAAGAGCUCUUUCUCGAUUCGGUGGGUGGUGGUGCAUGGCCGUUCUUAGUUGGUGGAGCGAUUUGUCUGGUUGAUUCCGAUAACGAACGAGAUUCUGCCCUACUAAAUAGUCCUCGGAUGGUCUCUCGCGUCGGGCUUAGCCGGCGGUUAAGGUGCGUUCGGUGGACUCGCGUCGUGGGAGGUUUCAGUGGGAUAAGCAGUACGGAGGCGUUUAUUCGUCGUCGCUUCGGUGGCGGCGGUGGGCGUCGCCCUCUGCUGUCUUCUCCCAUUGGCCGUCCUGGCGUUUUUGAGUUCCCGUUCGCGCUACGUCGAUCUCGGCGCGAGGGCGUCCUUGGCAAUUCUUCUUAGAGGCAUUGGCGGUGUCCCAGCCGUAAGAGAAAGAGCGAUAACAGGUCUGUGAUGCCCUUAGAUGUUCUGGGCCGCACGCGCGCUACAAUGAAGGGCUCAGCGUGCUUUCCCCCUCCGAAAGGAGUGGGUAACCCUUUGAAACCCCUUCCCGAUUGGGAUUGGGGCUUGCAAUUGUUUCCCAUGAAAGAGGAAUUCCUAGUAAGCGCAAGUCCUCAGCUUGCGUUGAUUACGUCCCUGCCCUUUGUACACACCGCCCGUCGCUACUACCGAUUGAAUGAUCCAGUGAGGGCAUCGGACUGGCGCCCUGGGUAAUUUUUUAGUUACCUUUGGGUCGACGGAAAGAUGUCCGAACUUGGUCAUUUAGAGGAAGUAAAAGUCG